GUAUUGAGGGCUUCACUCAUUCACUUGAGUAAACUAGAGGGACCGCUGUCUACUUCUUAAACCAGAGGAAGGUUGCGGCAAUAACAGGUCUGUGAUGCCCUUAGAUGUUCCGGGCUGCACACGUGCUACAAUGAUUGUGGCAGUGAGCAUCUAUGAGAUUUACUUACAUGAGUUCGUGAAGUGUGCUUCGGCUCACGGAUCGACUCUAAAAGCCUGCUUUGAGAGCAAGUGGGUAAUCAAUUAGAAGUAACGAUUUCUUCGCAUUAGCACACUUAUAUACGGCGUUUAUGCCCGGGUCUCACUUGUUGAGGCCUCUGCGUGCGUAGAUGUUGUUGGGUUUUACGACUCGCAUUUACCGUAUGUGCAAUUGUCAAUUCAUGGUGGGGACAGACCAUUGUUAAUUGUUGGUCUCGGUCUUAACUAGGAAUGCCUUGUACGAGUCUUUGGUUCAACAGACCACUCGGAAUAUGUCCCUGCCCUUUGUACACACCGCCCGUCGCUCUUACCGAUGGACUUCUCUGUGAGUUUGA
rnacentral:rRNA from 1 species